UACAGAGGGUGCAAGCGUUGUUCGGAAUUACUGGGCGUAAAGCGCGUGUAGGCGGCCCUUCAAGUCAGACGUGAAAUCCCUCAGCUUAACUGAGGAACUGCAUCUGAUACUGUUGGGCUAGAGUGUCGGAGGGGAUGGCGGAAUUCCCGGUGUAGAGGUGAAAUUCGUAGAUAUCGGGAGGAACACCCGUGGCGAAGGCGGCCAUCUGGAAGACAACUGACGCUGAGACGCGAAAGCGUGGGGAGCAAACAGG
rnacentral:rRNA from 1 species